rnacentral:lncRNA from 1 species
UGCCCUUAGGUUUUACUUUCCAAGCCAAUGGCCCCUGGAACAUGCCAGCACACACUGCCAUGUCCUGGGGCUAAGAGCUGCCUUUAGGGACAGGCUCGUGUUGUCCAGUUUGCCCUGAGAGAUGCACCUGACCAGGGGCCCGUCGUGGCUGCAACCCACGGUGGUAUGUUAGUGUUUCCAGGCAGUUGUCAGCAGCUGCCGGGUAGUGUGUGUGUGCGACAGCAGGAGAGUUCCUGGAGGAAAGGGACUGGGGACACUUUCUCAGAGGUUCUCCUGCCUGGAAUCAAGUGAUGCGUGUCCAGAAGGCAAGAGAGGGCGGCUCCGCCUGGUUAAAGUUUGGGAACGGGACGGAGCCAACUCCUCCUUCCAGGACUGUGGGCCCCACUCUUUUGCGCUAACACUUCCCCUCCCUCGGGUCACUGAGGAAAGAGCUGCUCUGUCCCCUCCAGUGCCCUGAAGGUCCCUGGCCUCCACUGGCUGCCAUGGCAGGGGGCCCUUCUGACAGGGGCUGCCCCAAGCUGCUGUUCCUCCUCUGAACCUUCACCCCAACACCCAGCCCGUGGCCCCUGCAAGGGGGACCCUGCCAGCUGGGAAACCCAAAGGCCUGUCCAAAUGCGCGCACCAGGACCGAGGGGAGCUCCCUCCCCACAUCUGCUGCGAAUUGCCAGCUUUUAAAUGGAUGGGGUUUUUUAUGGGUUGAACCUCUGUUAAUACUUUUGUACACUCUCACUACAGUUUAUAUUUUUAUAGGCUAUUUUCUCAAGGUGUUUCUAGAUUCCACAUAUCUAUUUUAUAUAACAAGUUCUUAUGUUAUGUGUGUGACUCCCUUGUGUGUAUCUGUGCCAGCCUCAGCCUCCGAGUUGCUUUUCCCUCUGGCCCUGACUCUCACUGACUCACCGAUGUGAUGUGCAGGCCCACUUCUUACCCCAGAUAGCCUCGGGUGCUGCCUGUAGUCAUGCUGACAGCUGUACAGUAGCCGCCAAGACUGCUGACGGCUGGAGACGGUUCUGGUUUCAACAACUACGGUAUAUUGAUAUCGGAAGUAUUCUAGACAGAUCCUCAGUUGGGUUUUCUAGCUACAUGUUUGUAUUGCACAGAUCCCCACCUGCCAUCCUAUAGUGUUGUCUUCCUGUGUGUUCCGGGGCUUCUGGGCAGCUGGGCCUGCCCGGGGAAGUCCUUGCAGGUGGGAGGCCAUACAGAGACCCAGUGUGUGCCACUGAGCGUCCCACCGCUGCUGGGCAACUGGAGGACUGCAGGGGGCGCCAGGUGACUCUCUCCUUUUAUAUCACAGCAGCUCCUGUGCUGACCUUCAAGUUAUGUUUUGGAACUGUAAUACUAAAG